AACGAACGCUGGCGGCAUGCCUAACACAUGCAAGUCGAACGAGACCUUCGGGUCUAGUGGCGCACGGGUGCGUAACGCGUGGGAACCUGCCCUUAGGUUUGGAAUAACUCCCCGAAAGGGGUGCUAAUACCGGAUAAUGUCUUCGGACCAAAGAUUUAUCGCCUUUGGAUGGGCCCGCGUUGGAUUAGCUUGUUGGUAGGGUAAAAGCCUACCACGGCGACGAUCCAUAGCUGGUCUGAGAGGAUGAUCAGCCACACUGGGACUGAGACACGGCCCAGACUCCUACGGGAGGCAGCAGUGGGGAAUAUUGGACAAUGGGCGAAAGCCUGAUCCAGCAAUGCCGCGUGAGUGAUGAAGGCCUUAGGGUUGUAAAGCUCUUUUACCCGGGAUGAUAAUGACAGUACCGGGAGAAUAAGCACCGGCUAACUCCGUG
rnacentral:rRNA from 1 species